rnacentral:rRNA from 1 species
AUAGAGGCCCCGCCUGCCCUGUGACUAUAUGUUUAACGGCCGCGGUAUCUUGACCGUGCAAAGGUAGCGCAAUCAAUUGUCUUUUAAAUGAAGACCUGUAUGAAUGGCGUGACGAGGGCUUAACUGUCUCCUUUUCUUAGUCAAUGAAAUUGAUCUUCCCGUGCAGAAGCGGGAAUAAAUUCAUAAGACGAGAAGACCCUGUGGAGCUUUAGAUGUUAGAGUAAUCCGAUGUUAAAUUAUCUCCCUAAAAGAUUAUAACUCAAGGCUUCUACUUUUAUGUCUUUGGUUGGGGCGACCACGGAGUAAAAAAUAACCUCCAUGCGGAAUAAGAGUACUGCUNCCUAAAAUCAUAGCCCCCGCUCUAUUAAUCAGAA